rnacentral:rRNA from 1 species
GAUGAACGCUGGCGGCGUGCCUAAUACAUGCAAGUCGAGCGAACAGACGAGGAGCUUGCUCCUCUGACGUUAGCGGCGGACGGGUGAGUAACACGUGGAUAACCUACCUAUAAGACUGGGAUAACUUCGGGAAACCGGAGCUAAUACCGGAUAAUAUAUUGAACCGCAUGGUUCAAUAGUGAAAGACGGUUUUGCUGUCACUUAUAGAUGGAUCCGCGCCGCAUUAGCUAGUUGGUAAGGUAACGGCUUACCAAGGCAACGAUGCGUAGCCGAUCUGAGAGGGUGAUCGGCCACACUGGAACUGAGACACGGUCCAGACUCCUACGGGAGGCAGCAGUAGGGAAUCUUCCGCAAUGGGCGAAAGCCUGACGGAGCAACGCCGCGUGAGUGAUGAAGGUCUUCGGAUCGUAAAACUCUGUUAUUAGGGAAGAACAAAUGUGUAAGUAACUAUGCACGUCUUGACGGUACCUAAUCAGGAAGCCACGGCUAACUACGUG